rnacentral:tRNA from 1 species
GCUGGGAGCUCAGUGGUGGAAUGCCUGCCUGGCAUGCAUGAGGCCCUGGGUUCAAAUCCCAGCACUGCA